rnacentral:rRNA from 1 species
GCUAAAAACCUAGCCCAACCAAACAUGAAUUCUUACAAUAUUACUUAACCUUACUUAAUAAACCAUUUUAAUAUUUUAGUAAAGGAGAUUGAAAAAUUUACUGGAGCUAUAAUGACAGUACCGCAAGGGAAGGAUGAAAUAUUUAAUGAAAAACCUUUAAGCAGUAAAAAGUAAAGACUAUCUCUUGUACCUUUUGCAUCAUGGUUUAACUAGUCUAAUCAAGCAAAACGUAUUUUAGUUUGACUUCCCGAAACUAAGUGAGCUACUUCAGGGCAGCUAAAAGAGCGAACCCGUCUCUGUAGCAAAAGAGUGGGAUGACCCCCAAGUAGCGGUGACAGACCUAACGAACUUAGUGAUAGCUGGUUACUCAAGAAAUGGAUCUAAGUCCAACCUGAAGCUUCCCCCAACAGUACACCAAAACAACAGCCAAACUUCAGAGUAAUUCAAAUAAGGUACAGCCUAUUUGAAACAGGACACAACCUAGACUAAUGGAUAAGAUUGGCUUUAAUAACAACCAAGUGGGCCUAAAAGCAGCCACCUUUAAAAUAGCGUCAAAGCUUUGCUGUUCUUACGCUAAAAUUUAAAAAUUUUUAUCUCAAUCCUUCACUAAUACUGAGUAAUUCUAUACUAUUAUAGAAAAUUUUAUGUUAAAACUAGUAACAAGAAGAAAAUUCUUCUCUUUAAUGUAAGUGUAAAUCAGAAAGGAUAAACCACUGAUAUUUAACGUCACUGAGCUAAAAGUAAAAACUUAUCAAGAAAACCCUACUUCCAUUUACGUUAACCUAACACAAGAACAUCUCAAGAAAGAUUAAAAGAAAAAGAAGGAACUCGGCAAAUAUUAACCUCGCCUGUUUACCAAAAACAUCGCCUCUUGAAUAUUAAUAAGAGGUCCAGCCUGCCCAGUGACCAUGUUCAACGGCCGCGGUAUCCUAACCGUGCGAAGGUAGCGUAAUCACUUGUUCUUUAAAUGAGGACUAGUAUGAAUGGCACCACGAAGGUUAUACUGUCUCCUUUUUCUAAUCAGUGAAACUAAUCUCCCCGUGAAGAAGCGGGGAUAAACUUAUAAGACGAGAAGACCCUAUGGAGCUUUAAACAAUAUAGCACCUGCCCUACAACAUAAAAAUUUCCGAGCCCCUAAAUUCCGCUGGCAUGCUGACUAUAAGUUUUUGGUUGGGGUGACCGAGGAGCACAAUAUAACCUCCAUGUUGAAAGAUAUCUAUUCUUAACUAAGACCCACCAGUCUAAGCAUCAAUACAUUGACAUCCAUUGACCCAAUAAAAUUGAACAACGAACCAAGUUACCCUAGGGAUAACAGCGCAAUCCACUUCAAGAGCUCCUAUCGACAAGUGGGUUUACGACCUCGAUGUUGGAUCAGGGUAUCCCAGUGGUGCAGCCGCUACUAAAGGUUCGUUUGUUCAACG